CUGCACCCGCCCACUCUAGCUCAGAGUGUUUACGUGGUUCCAAGAAGAAGACGCAAGUUUUGGUUUUUCAUUGUGUUUACUAAGAAGAUUGUGCGUGCAUCCAAGAAAAACCACAAGUCCAUUUCUAACUGUAACCACAAAGAUACUUCAAUGAUGUGUGGGUUUGUGCAGCUGUGUGGUGGUGACCUAGAGAAUAAAGCUCUGGAUAUGAAAACAUCUGCCUGGUUUCUGCCGGACUGCCUGUAGUGGGUCAGACCAAAGUACAGCUAGCGUUAAGUCAUUAGCUGCUGAGGGUUCAGAAGCCAACCGCUCCGAUGGCUCCAGCUGGACGUUUUUAUACCCAGUGACUCGUUAACAAGGAUUUCUGGGAUCGUACACUCCCAAUUAUUGUGCAUGAACUUAAACUGAUAUUUUCUGGUGUCUGACCUGCAUGACACUUGCACUUGGAAAGAGGAGACGUCAUAGCGUCACGUCAAUACACACCCAACCAACUAGCUAGUACCACUUACGUUGGGGCGGGAAUAUUUGAAUUGCAGUGUCAGUUGGCUAGAGAGAUCCCUAGAUCCGUAGACACCUCCGUAGAGAUCCACUCACUGCCUGUCCGCAACAUUAGCUGUGAUUUCAACGAGAAGACUUCAACAAGACUUUCAGCAAAGUCGACAUCGAAGGACUUCAAAAGAACCAUGUUCUAGGCACAAUUUACACAGUAGGUCUUACGUUAGUGUGGUGGUUGUACAUUUCAAUUCAUUUACUAGCUAGCUACUUUGUGUUAAGCAAGAGUUUAGGGGUUAGUUGUUGCAAGGUGAUUGAAUGCCUUAUAAAAUAAGCUGUUCAUCAAGGUAAUAAGACUUACGAGCACACUGUGUCCUAUUGCAAGGAAGUGAUGUCUUUUGUUUUUGUGAGUGUAGGGUAAAACUUGUGAUCGAUAUUGAAGCAUAGAGGUGUUUUAUGGAGACAUGAACAAUUAUUCUACUCAAUAUCCCUACACCCCAGUCUCCUCUGCUACCUCCCAGGGAGGAGGAAUACCCUGAACUCCUCGUUCUCACAGGACUCGGGCUAGUACGCUGUUGCCAGACAUGUUGGAUACAACACUGGGUCGUUGACCAGCAGUGGUUACCCUCCCCAGGAAAUGUUGCCCUCCUGCUCCUCCUCUGCUGUCUCUUCCUCAGCCGGGGCAUGCAAAGCUCCCUGUUACCCAGAGGACCCCCAUGCACCUCCUCAAAACAGCUAUCACAUGGGUCGCCCACGUACCCCCCAACAAAUACUGCCCCCUUAUAUCCUAAUGAGCCCCAGGUCUACCCCACAUAUGCGAUGCCACCCCCUUCACUCCAGGACGAGCAGCCCCCUCUGGCAGACAAAAUGAACUAUUUGUAGAACAUUGCAUAGGAAUUGUGUGUUGUGUUGGAUUUGCCCCAAACAUACUGUAAGAAUUUGUGUUUAAGACAAAAAGUUAAUUAAUUUUCCGUGUUCAGUUCAGAAGGAUGACUAUCUUUGAUGUGUCUGGGUUGUUUAAUACAUAAUGCAAAGCAUAAUUAUUAACUUGACCAUGCUUAAAGCGAUAUUCAAUGUUUGUUAUUGUUAACCAUUUUAUUGUUCUGCCAUUUUGAUGAGGCUUUUGAAAAGGUCCCUGGUCGUUGUAGUUGCAUCUAGCUUGAAAAUCAAUACCUGACUGAGGGACCUUAUAGGGAAGGACACUCAACAUGCACAGCACUUACACAAAUGACUGAUGAUUGGCUGAGGGAAAUUGAUGAUAAAAUUAUUGUGGAGGCUGUCUUGUUAGACUUCAGUGCAGAUUUACAUGUUUGAUCAUAGUCCACUGCUGGAAAAAGUGGAUAAAGUGUUACUUGCCUAACAGAACACAGAGGCUGUUAUUUAAUGGAAGCUUCAAAUAUAAUCCAGUUAGAAUCAGGAAUUCCCCAGGGUAGCUGUUUAGGCC